AGCUAGUUGGUGAGGUAACGGCCCACCAAGGCGACGAUCGGUAGCCGGACUGAGAGGUUGAACGGCCACAUUGGGACUGAGACACGGCCCAGACUCCUACGGGAGGCAGCAGUGGGGAAUAUUGCACAAUGGGGGAAACCCUGAUGCAGCGACGCCGCGUGGAGGAAGAAGGUCUUCGGAUUGUAAACUCCUGUUGUUGGGGAAGAUAAUGACGGUACCCAACAAGGAAGUGACGGCUAACUACGUGCCAGCAGCCGCGGUAAAACGUAGGUCACAAGCGUUGUCCGGAAUUACUGGGUGUAAAGGGAGCGCAGGCGGGAAGACAAGUUGGAAGUGAAAUCUAUGGGCUCAACCCAUAAACUGCUUUCAAAACUGUUUUUCUUGAGUAGUGCAGAGGUAGGCGGAAUUCCCGGUGUAGCGGUGGAAUGCGUAGAUAUCGGGAGGAACACCAGUGGCGAAGGCGGCCUACUGGGCACCAACUGACGCUGAGGCUCGAAAGUGUGGGUAGCAAACAGGAUUAGAUACCCUGGUAGUCCACACCGUAAACGAUGAUUACUAGGUGUUGGAGGAUUGACCCCUUCAGUGCCGCAGUUAACACAAUAAGUAAUCCACCUGGGGAGUACGACCGCAAGGUUGAAACUCAAAGGAAUUGACGGGGGCCCGCACAAGCAGUGGAGUAUGUGGUUUAAUUCGACGCAACGCGAAGAACCUUACCAAGUCUUGACAUCCCUUGACGAUGCUGGAAACAGUAUUUCUCUUCGGAGCAAGGAGACAGGUGGUGCAUGGUUGCCGUCAGCUCGUGUCGUGAGAUGUUGGGUUAAGUCCCGCAACGAGCGCAACCCUUAUGGUCAGUUACUACGCAAGAGGACUCUGGCCAGACUGCCGUUGACAAAACGGAGGAAGGUGGGGAUGACGUCAAAUCAUCAUGCCCUUUAUGACUUGGGCUACACACGUACUACAAUGGCGUUAAACAAAGAGAAGCAAGACCGCGAGGUGGAGCAAAACUCAGAAACAACGUCCCAGUUCGGACUGCAGGCUGCAACUCGCCUGCACGAAGUCGGAAUUGCUAGUAAUCGUGGAUCAGCAUGCCACGGUGAAUACGUUCCCGGGCCUUGUACACACCGCCCGUCACACCAUGAGAGCCGGGGGGACCCGAAGUCGGUAGUCUAACCGUAAGGAGGACGCCGCCGAAGGUAAAACUGGUGAUUGGGGUGAAGUCGGAACAAGGUAGCCGUAGGAGAACCUGCGGCUG
rnacentral:rRNA from 1 species